rnacentral:rRNA from 1 species
GACGAACACUGGCGGCGUGCUUAACACAUGCAAGUCGAACGGAAAGGCCCCUUUGGGGGUACUCGAGUGGCGAACGGGUGAGUAACACGUGAGUAACCUGCCCUUGACUUCGGGAUAACUUCAGGAAACUGGGGCUAAUACCGGAUAGGAAUCCUUGCUGCAUGGUGGGGGUUGGAAAGCUUCGGCGGUUUUGGAUGGACUCGCGGCUUAUCAGCUUGUUGGUGGGGUAGUGGCUUACCAAGGCUUUGACGGGUAGCCGGCCUGAGAGGGCGACCGGCCACAUUGGGACUGAGAUACGGCCCAGACUCCUACGGGAGGCAGCAGUGGGGAAUAUUGCACAAUGGGCGGAAGCCUGAUGCAGCAACGCCGCGUGCGGGAUGACGGCCUUCGGGUUGUAAACCGCUUUCAGCAGGGGCGAAGCUUGUGGUGACGGUACCUGCAGAAGAAGCACCGGCUAACUACGU